AGGGAUGAGCGCGGCUAUCUGGAUAAAGAAAAGGAGCAAGCCCUGCGGGAACAGGUACAGGAGAUGGGAAGAGAGCCAGCAACGAAAGUGGACAGGGACCUCUAGGGAACAGAAGCCAAGGCUUUCUGGGGCCUUGCUGUUUCCAUAGCAACGAAGCCUGCUGCCCAGGCACUAGGAGAACCAGGGGGCUCAAGGACCAGAAAAAGGAAUGUUUGACCUUGGUUUUGCCACAUGUACUAGUCCCACCCAGAAGCCAUUCCUCCCACUCCCUCACCUUCACUGCAGUCAAAGAAAGUAUCAUUAAAGAGAGUCAAACAGAAAGAAAGAAAAGAAUAAGGCAACCAUGUGAGUAAGUGAUUGGGACAGAACAAGAGGCCAGCAAAAAGGAAAGAGGCGGGUCUGGGGCUGGACAGUGGCUGCCAAGGCCAAGUGGAGAAACGAGGCCAUUUCUCGACUCCUCAGCCCUGCCUCCAGUCUCCUGGGGUGGGUGGCAAAGCUAGCUACUCUGGAGCCUGCGCCUCCACGGGCUCCAGUCCCUUUACCACCGGAGACCUGGGUCAGCCCAGAGACGCCAAGAGGCCUGAGGAGCAGCCAAAGAGAACCUGAAAGCCUUCGAGAAGAGGGACAGAAAAAGAGAUGAGCAAGUGUGGAAAGAAAACCCGAAGAUGGCCCAGCUCCCAGACCUCCUCUGGGAAGGUCUCCAGCGCCCCCCUCCGCCCUCCCUACUCUCGAGCUCUACAGCUGUCUGUUCUGCUCACUUGGCACUUACUGCCUAAUAACAUCUUGUACUGCUCCCUGGAGAGGAAAUGUGAUGUGAGAAAGAAGACCUGGGCGCUAGUGCUGGCUCCACCACCAGCUUUGUGACCUUCGCUGGUCACAAAGCUGGGCUCUAAGUCCCAGCUUCCCCGUCUGGAAAAUGGAGCUGAUCAUCAGGAACUGCACAGGCUGCUGUGGGCACCUCAGAAAGAGAAAGGGUGGGGUCCAGCUUCCUCAACCAUAAAGCAUCCCACAAAUAAACGACUCAUGCCAGUUGGUAACUUUCUGC
rnacentral:lncRNA from 1 species